AACGUAGGAGGCAAGCGUUAUCCGGAGUUACUGGGCGUAAAGAGUGCGUAGGCGGGCUUGUAAGUGGGUGGUGAAAGCCCUCGGCUAAACUGAGGGAGGACCGCUCAGACUGCAAGUCUAGAGGUGGAUAGAGGGGCGUGGAAUUCCGGGUGUAGCGGUGAAAUGUGUAGAGAUCCGGAGGAACACCAGUGGUGCAAACGGCGCCCUGGGUCCAUACUGACGCUGAGGCACGAAAGCGUGGGGAGCGAACGGG
rnacentral:rRNA from 1 species